rnacentral:rRNA from 1 species
AUACGUAGGGAGCGAGCGUUGUCCGGAAUUACUGGGUGUAAAGGGUGCGUAGGCGGGGAUGCAAGUCAGAUGUGAAAUGUAUGGGCUCAACCCAUGAACUGCAUUUGAAACUGCAACUCUUGAGUGAGGGAGAGGUAAGCGGAAUUCCUAGUGUAGCGGUGAAAAGCGUAGAGAUCGGGAGGAACACCAGUGGCGAAGGCGGGUAACUGGACUGCAACUGACGCUGAGGCGCGAAAGUGUGGGGAGCAAACAGGAUUAGAUACCCUGGUAGUCCACACUGUAAACGAUGAAUGCUAGGUGUAGGAGGUAUCGACCCCUUCUGUGCCGCAGUAAACACAGUAAGCAUUCCGCCUGGGGAGUACGGUCGCAAGAUUAAAACUCAAAGGAAUUGACGGGG